GGGGUCGACGGGGGAUCAAGAAGCCUCGUGGCCUAGGCUAGUGGCCCACAUUGCACUUGGUGGGUGCGCUGGCUUACCAUCUCCCCAAGUGGGAGAGUGGACGUCAUAAUUUGUGCUAGAGGGGUACGCGUCCGCGCGGCCCCUGCCAAUUCUUCGAAAUUAAACUUUAGUCCUUGGCCUGUCUUGCUCAAGGCGUUGAAAUCAGAUUUUUUGUAAGUUCUGGUCCAUAUUGAAGUCGAUCUGAUGAGUAAACUUCGUAACUAAAUCGAAAAGCUCCAGUUGCUGAAGUGAAUACAGUGGCAAACGGUGUCUGUCUCCCUUGCGUCUAGAGACCGGCGCGCCACCGCCGUUCUGGCCAUCGCAUCGAGCGCCUCCAACUCGCACUCCGGCCCUCGCAGCCCCCGUGUGCCCCACCCUCUCCACCGCGCCGCCAGCGCCACCCACCGUCGGCUCCGAGUGCGGACGCACGCACAGGGCGCUGAGGAUGCUUCGACGGGCGCCAGAGAUCGCGUCGCCGCCGCCAUUGCAGACAUGGACAAGUGCAGCGAGAAGCCCUCGCUGCUUCUGUGGGAACACCUAGGAUCGGGCACCACUGCAAGUGAAUGGCAGCAGAGGCGACGAUCUUGUGUGCAUCUAGGACCACCUUCGCUGCAUCGCUGCCUACCCCGACUUCAUGUUGCGUCGCUGUCAUGUUAAUUAAUAUUUUCUCCAUGUUAUUUGUUACAAACCUUCUUUUGGUGUCCACACCUGUCUUGACUGAAAUAUCGUACAAAGAAGUACAUGCCAUCGUCAUCUUCAUCGUCUUCAUGAUCCAAAGGAAAUGAUCUUGACUUUCCAACCCCAUGACCAUCGAAGCUUUAGCCCUACAAGAUGCUGUUGCUUUUGUGGUUAAGAGGAAUUACAAUCGUGUUGUGUUUGAGGUGGACUGCGCUGAUGUAAUGAUGUAAAAAGUACAAUUUGUUCACCUUCGCUGUGCAUCUAGGACCACCUUCGCUGUGCCGCUGCGUACCCCGACUCCAGGUUGCGUCGCCGUCAUGUUAACUAAUAUUUCUCCAUGUUAUGUGUUACAAACCUUCUUUUGGCGACAUAAUUCCUACACAUGUUUUAUAUUUAGAUUUCGUUUGAUGGGCACUAGUCCACACCUGUCUUGACUUGAAAUAUGGUACAAAGAAGUACAUGCCAUCGUCAUCUUCAUCGUCUUCAUGAUCUAGCGUCUGUCCGCAAUGAGAAAGAAUGUUCUGGCCCAGUGCUAUGGCAGUGACAUUACUCGCAAAAGGAAGUUGGUAGAGAAGCAAAAUGAAGGGAAGAAGCGCAUGAAACGAGUAGGAUCCGUCAGUAUUCCUCAAGAAGCAUUCCAUGAGCUACUAAAGGUCUCCAGUUCAAAAUACUUGAGCUGUAUUUUAGUGUUUUAGCCUCAUAUAGUCAUCUUCUAGAAGGUAAGUUUUCUUAUGUGGUUCUGCACAUCAUGUCUCCAGCUUCCAGAGUAUAGCCUGGUCUGCAUCAUAGUUCACCGGGUAUAUACUGCUGUUUUGAGUUGAAGAGUGUAGCAGGAUGUUGUGCAUCACCACUGGUCCACAAGGCUUAUUUCAUUGUGAGAAAUUCCAAAUUAGCGAUGACAAAUAAUAUGAAUUUUCUUUGUGAGAGAUGACAGAUGUAUCAUUUUCUUUCCGAGAUGACAGAUUUGUGAGCUCAUAAUUAAAUUGGUAAUA